UUUAAUUUUCUUUUUUCAUUCUCUGUCAAAUUUGAUAAGUGAAUCUCAAAACCGGUAUAUCUUUAGCUCGGAUCGUUUGCCCCAAUAACUAAUGGAGAAUUAAACGAAAAUACAUGCUUUGUCAUACCUAUAGGUUCUUCUGUGACAAAACUGUCGGCUCGUAAAAGCUCAGGAAAUGCAUGCUUUUUUCACGACGCUCCGUUAAGCCCAGCGUCACUCACGAAAACAAUGGGACGUACACUGGCUAUUUACGUCGUGACGGGAAUGACAAAUAAAUGCAGCGACCAUUGAAUCGACAUGCUAUUCGUAUUAUGGUUAAUCCCUCCGUUCUAUUUUAGAAAUACGGAAAAGCCCCGGUAUUACGGAUAUUCAGACGCAAAUAAAUAUUUCACGCUGUGACCCUCCACCAGAGUAAACGAUCUGCGCUGCAGCUCGAUGCAUAAAUACGGAAUGAGCCAUGAGGACAGUGUCAAUUACGCCGAGAUACGGCAAUUAACUAGUCCUCGGCGGGCUUCUAAUUUCCAAUUAGCGUAAUUGAAACCCACUUUGUUAGUCCGAGCAGGGAUCCAACGUGCCUAAUAUAAUAAGCUAGCAAAUAGCUCAAAACGACGUUUGCACAUGCAUGAAUCGAUGCUUUUAAAAAAAUUGAAGAAAUAAACAUUACCGUGUAGAAAUCUUGGAACAGAUUGUUCAAGUAAAAAAUUUAAAUCAAGCUAUCUGGGUAAACGUUACUAUUUUUGUUAAUCCUAAGUAUAAAUGUAGGCAUGAUAAAGGUACUUGGGUAAUUUUGAGCUUCGUUAUGCAAUUUGCAGUUUAUAAAUUCAUUCUAAAUUUUGCGUCCUUGGUUUUCGUCUCAUGAACGUCAUCGUGACGAACUACGUGCGAGCUACUCGUGGCGUCACAGCUAAACGUCGUCACGUGGUGGCCUUAGGUACGUGUACCUAUCUACAGCUGCAAGCUGCAGCCAAGUGGCGAACAAUUUUAUUCGUGCUAGUAACUUUCGCUUAACGACUCAUUUGCUGCGGAUCGGCCGCGGCCAGUAUUAGUAACCCUGCACUGAUGAUAGUAGCGCGUUGCAAACAACCUUGCGAACAAUGUAUCGUACAGGCUGUAAAUCGCGAAGUUCAUCGCCUUGCUAAUUAUACCAUGUUGACAAGUAUUCAUAUGCUGCACUGACAGCUAUGCCUGAUACAGAUAUUACUAUAAGAUCACAAAGUUGCAUUAUAAUCGAACGUAGUAAGAAGCAGAGUUAUAUAAUAAUGUAUAAUAAAAUUAUUAGACGGGGUAUCUAAAAAAUAUUACGUAGAAUAAGGCAAGAAUAUUCAUGGUACUUCGGAUCGUUUGCGAUUUUGCACAAUUCUCCAGCCUACCUUACCGACCGCUUAGUAGAAAUUUCAUUAUGACAAUCGAGGACCAGUCGAGGCCUGAGCUAGUCCUGAACUGGCCCAGGUGGGACCUGGACAAGCCCUGGACUUGCCUAAGCACAUUUCUGCCAGAGGAUGAUAUACCGGCCUUGUGGAGCCCGUGAAUGCGUAAAGUCAAACGAAACUGAAGAUACGGAAUCCGCGUGCGAAAAGUGUCCACAGAAUUUCUCUAACUUAGCCACGUAUCGUCUAGGAAGUGUGUUUGUUUGCGAACGCAGAAAUAAUAUUUGGCACAGCGAGCCUUCCGUUUAUAUAAGAGUUUGCAGAUAACCGCGCUCUUCCCUUGUUGCUGUAAAAUCCUCAAAUUUCUGCUUCGUCCUUUUCCCUUUCUUACGGCUCGCCAUUAAUUUUCACGCCUACGAAAAAGCCUUGCGAAAUUCAAUUGCUGACGGCGCUUUCAGCAGUUCACGUCUCGAUUGUGUCUUGAGAAAAUCGCGCAAUCAGGUCUACGUCUGUUUUCGUGACAAUUAUGGGCGUGAGAUGAUGGAGUAAAUAAUGGAGGAGGAGGAUGAUGCUGAUGACGAUUACUAUGACGAAGAAUUGUACGAUCCAGGAAAAAUACGAUCAAGUUUGCCGCUGGCUAACACUUCCGUCAUUCUAUUCACGGAUACACAGAUUCGAUAGUGGCUACAGAGACAUCGUGAAUUCUCAAAAGUCCCCGGGAGUUGCUUGGGUCUUAGCGGACAACGUGGCCUGGCAGGUGCGACGAGACGGAACCAGAAGACGUCGUAUCGUCAACCAGCCGGGGCGAGCAGUCGAGGUUCUGGAGACGCAUGAUUUAACGUUCUCUUCCCAGAAGUGAUUUACUGUGGGCAAAUAGAAGCAUCCCCGUCGCAGCCAAAACCCCCACGAUUCAGCAUCUCUACGGUUAUAUAGAAUGAUAAAAGGGGAUGCUGGCUCUGAUGCUUCGCGACAGAUUUAUCGCCUUUGUUUACCAAAAGAUGGGGUCACGCUUCAUCCCUGAUGAUUUGCUGUGUCUUAAUGUGAAGAUUCAUGACUAUUCGUAGCAAGCUUCUAGACGAGCAACGGCCCGUUUACAUGCACCAAGAAGUAGGUGGCAGCACUAGGUGGCGUAGUUUCCUACAAACUGGCCGAGUGUGAAGCUCGUCGAGUCUAGAGUUCGCUAGCGCAUCCGACAGAUGGGGCACGAAAGAUUCUCGCAUUCUGCCAAUCGUGAACGUAAUAUUUUACCCAACAAUAAUUGUACUUUCCAUCAUUAAUAUUUUUAAUUUUAAAAACUCCCUCAUCUUACAGCACCCUGGCAUCUUGGCAUCCAUGUACGUACAUAAAUACAUAUGUUCCAUUUUUAAGGGUCAUCGCCUUGCAACUUACCAUAUAAAAAAAUCCCCAGAAUAUUACACUCACUGUAUAUCCAAUGACCGUAAUAUGUUCAGAGGAGAAGUGAACGACACGAUGAUUUCGGAAUCGUUAACACCGCAACAAAAGUUAUAUAUAUCAAAGCUUUACGAUCAGCCGACCGGUAAUAAAAUUUCUAUCAAUACGAACAGCGUGAAAAGCGUUUAUAGGCGAGAUAUCACAUUUGCGAAGGUCUUGUUGCCCCUAACCAGUAGUCCAGCUCUAUAAGUUCCAAAGUGUAUGAUAAUAAAUUGCAUGCCGAGAGUCACGAGUCUCCGAAUGCUGCGUUGUUAUUUUCGUAAAGUCUAACUCUCAUGAUCAAUAGGUAUUUUCGAAGGACACGUGGUAAUGCCAAUCUGCACUGCUGCCUAAGUAGACAUCCGGUGAGGAAUCAGCAAGCAGCUAUAAUAUUCCAGAAAGCCCGAGAUAUUUUUCACAAGAUAAAUGGGAACGAGUGGAAGAAGUCUCACGUAAUUUUUCCACAAUUUUUCGAAAAAGCUUACUUUACCUCUAUCGAGACCGGCGUGUUAAGUGAAUUGGUAAUUAAAAAAUCCGAAAAGUACAUAAAUUGCAUGACAUUUACGUUCUAAACAAUUCGCCAUUGCUUUAGUGAAAUAUUGGCUGUCCGUGUAAGCGUUUAUUUUUUACACGUUAUUACUUGUCAGUAUCUUACGCUGGCAGCUGUGUAACAUAAGCUCCCGCUGCUAAGUAAUAAAUGAAAGCUUCGUCUUAGGCGUUAAAUUGAAUUACCGAUCAAAUUUAGUAGCAAAUAAAUUAAACGUAUACUAUUACCAGUAUUCUGCCAUCUAGGUACGAUAUACUUAACCAACAGCUUACUGCUUCCGGAAUGUUAAAUAUUGAACGAGCUUUGCCAGAUGCUUCGAGCAUCAUUCUAUUUAAUUCUUCUGCCAGUUAUCAAAGACAGACUAUAGCAACUUACAUCAGUCGUGUUCAAGGAACCCACUGUACGAAGCGUAAGCUCGGAAGCUUUGUAUCUUGAAAAAUAUAUUUACUAAUCAGGGAUACUUGAGGUGUCAAUGUGUUUAUGCAACGUAGACGUUGAAUCAAAUCCCAAUACAUAUAACGUCGCAUCCAUUUUUUUAAAUUGAACAAGCUCAUUCUACAUUUUGAAAUAACCCUUCUACACUCAGUUCGUAUUCCUGGAGCAUCGUCGGAUUAAUUAAAUGAUCUCGCAGCUGAUUAAAAGUCUUUCUACAAUGUUUACCGACAAGUCGUUGAAAAAAAAUCAUUCAACGUUAAAACCAUCGGCGAAACUAUAACACUCGUGUUUAUCGUCUAGGGUGGAGAAGGUGUUGCCCAACAUUGCACGGAAGCCGUGCAUCACCAGCUGCGUUCUUCAUUUCACUCAUCUUCACUAUACCUCUCUAUCCACUUCCCCAACGUGGGCGGAUGCACCGUCAUGGAUAAAACUCAAAACUUUCCACGAAUGCUGCAACCGUACGAAAAAAACUUCUAGCCACUUGGUAUUUUUACUUCUCGUGAGAUCAGCAGCUUCAGUCAGGCUUUCUUUUUACGACUAGACUUGCUCAUGGUAUUAAAUAUUUUUUUCAUUUUUUCAAACACACACACUAAAGUGUAUAGUGGGUCUCGGACUCAGACCUUCCCCAACGGACCUUCGAUUUUCUGAGGUUGCCCAAUCGGUUCCACGUGCUCGUAUUCAUGCACAGUUAAUAAUAUAUGAAGCUUGGAUGCAGGAACGUUUACAUGGGCGUUCCGACAAAGUGUUCAGCGCGACGUAUGGAAACGAACGUCGACGCCGACGUUGUCCACCACCGGUAACAAGAAUAUUGCCCCAGAGAUGCUUCUCGCUCGAAUACAUGUAACAGGGCGUAACCUGGCUACCCUCCCCGACGUCUGACGUCUUCGCGAGUCCGGGAGCUUUUACGAAUCUCAAAUAAGCGUGAGUAUGUUUUGCAAGAGGACCAUUCAGCCUCGGGAUUAUGACGCAUUUCUAUCAAUGAGAAUUAUUACUAGAUCCACGUCGCAUUUCUGAAUUUCCACUCUACGUCAUCAUGCACGACUAGCUGGGCUUGGGCCGUGAUUGGCGUAAAGCUCAGGCUGACGAUUACAAGGUUUAGUGAAUGAACAGUCACGAGGUCCACGUGUCCGGCAAAGACAGCCUUUGUGUAUUUAGCUGUUGUGUCACGAGAAGGUUACAAAAAGGAUUUCAAAAGUCAAAGCACCCGCGUAGACGUCUCGGACACUUCUAGAGCAACCAGGAAGAGCCGGACACUCGUUAUAUUAAAAAUAUGUACAGCCAGACUCGAAAUGGCGUGAGGCUUUUAUU